AAUCUGUGGUUUACCCUUCUGGUCCUGCAGCUGUCCAUAGCAAAGAAAAGCAUUAAAAAGCUGUUAAGUCGUCAGUGCUCCGAAAUGUCUUGAAGUCACAGGGAGGCAGAAGGUGACACCGCACAUCCCAGGGAACUGUGCUGCCUGCCCAUAGACCAAGUUUUCAAGAAUAAAAGACAGGAGCCAGAGUGGCUGCACCAAAACACUCAUGGAAAGCAGAAGACGAUGGAGUCCAGCCAGACACCAGCCAGGAGGAAGCAGGAAGUGUGUGGAGGUAUGGUAACUUCAUUUCAACAAACUAUAUGA
rnacentral:lncRNA from 1 species